UCACAAUUGUUGAGAGUAAAAGGGAUGG
rnacentral:sRNA from 1 species